CAAGGUCCCUCCGGAGAGAUCCCGUCGCAGUGCGGGACGCCGAAGGCGCAACUCGCCCGUAAACGCUCAGGCAAAAGGACGGUGGGAACCGA
rnacentral:ncRNA from 2 species